rnacentral:rRNA from 1 species
UACAGAGGGUGCGAGCGUUGUCCGGAAUCACUGGGCGUAAAGGGCGCGUAGGCGGCUUGAUAAGCGUGCGGUGAAAGCCCGGGGCUCAACCCCGGGUCGGCCGUGCGAACUGUCGAGCUGGAGCACUGUAGAGGCAGGUGGAAUUCCGGGUGUAGCGGUGGAAUGCGUAGAGAUCCGGAAGAACACCGGUGGCGAAGGCAGCUCGCUGGGACGGUACUGACGCUGAGGCGCGAACGCGUGGGGAGCAAACAGG